CCUACGGGUGGCAGCAGUGAGGAAUAUUGGUCAAUGGUCGCGAGCCUGAACCAGCCAAGUCGCGUGAGGGAGGACGGCACUACGUGUUGUAAACCUCUUUUGUCAGGGAACAAAGUGUGGCACGUGUGCCCGGUUGAGUGUACCUGAAGAAAAAGCAUCGGCUAACUCCGUGCCAGCAGCCGCGGUAAUACGGAGGAUGCGAGCGUUAUCCGGAUUUAAUGGGUUUAAAGGGUGCGUAGGCGGGCUGUUAAGUCAGGUGUGAAAUCCUGGGGCUUAACCAUAGACCUGCAGUUGAAACUGGCAGUCUAGAGUAGGAGAGAGGUAGGCGGAAUGCGUGGUGUAGCGGUGAAAUGCGUAGAUAUCACGAAGAACUCCGAUUGCGAAGGCAGCAUGCUAGAUCAACACUGACGCUGAGGCACGAAAGCGUGGGUAUCGAACAGGAUUAGAUACCCGUGUAGUC
rnacentral:rRNA from 1 species